rnacentral:rRNA from 1 species
UCCCUAUGGGGUGCAGCAGUCGGGAAACUUCUACAAUGCACGCAAGUGUGAUAGAGCAAGCCAGAGUGAUUCUCUAUAAUUGAGAAUCUUUUGUGAGAUGUAAAAAGUCUCACGAAUAAGGACUGGGCAAGACUAGUGCCAGCCGCCGCGGUAAUACUAGCGGUCCAAGUGGCAGCCACUUUUAUUGGGUCUAAAACAUCCGUAGCUUGCCUCGUAAGUCUCUUGUGAAAUUUGGCAUCCUAAGUGUCAAGCGUGCAAGAGAUACUGCGAGGCUAGAGACCGGGAGACGUGAGGAGUACGGCUAGGGUAGCGGUAAAAUGCGUUGAUCCUUUCUGGACUAACGAUAGCGAAGGCACCUUGCGAGAACGGAUCUGACAGUGAGGGAUGAAGGCUAGGGUCGCAAAACGGAUUAGAUACCCGUGUAGUCCUAGCAGUAAACCCUGCACACUAAACAUCGGUACCUCCUCGAGAGGUAUCGGUGCUGUAGGGAAGCCGUAGAGUGUGCUACCUGGGAAGUAUAGUCGCAAGGCUGAAACUUAAAGGAAUAGGCGGCGGGAUACUACAACCAGUGACGCGUGCGGUUCAAUUAGAUUCUACACCGUGAACCUCACCAGGAUCGACAGCAGAAUGAAGGUCAGUCUAAAGGGCUUACCUGACACGCUGAGAGGAGGUGCAUGGCC